rnacentral:rRNA from 1 species
AACGGCCGUACCAUGCUGAAUAUACCGGUUCUCGUUAGAUCACCGAAGUCAAGCAUCAUUGGGCGCGAAGUCAGUACUUGGGUGGGUGACCACCUGGGAACAUUGCGUGCCGUU